CAGCAGCUUCUUUUACUGCAAAAGAACAGCGGCUCUUCUUUGACCACCUGUGGGCAAAGCAGUAUCACUCGUCCAGACACGAUAGCACUCUUUCCUUUAUGACUGUCUGAAGUCCACGGAUUGCUUUCUGUCUGGUCCCUCACCUAGAACUUGCCACGAGAGGUCCUACCAGGACACCACAGCUCCCCAGAUCUGAUCCAGCCACCCAGGAGAGGAUUACACUGGAUCACUCUCUCUCGCCUCCUCCAUCUCUAACUGCAUUCUUCCCUACAAUUCCUUUAGUCCAUCAGUCCUUAUCCUUCACCUCAUCUUACAAUCCUGGUCCAACCUAGCUCUUCAUCAGCUCAAUUUCAUAAUUUCUUCCCUGCUCCCUGAUUUAUUACCCCUUUUAUUUCACCUCACCCCUGUUUGCUUGUUAUUUGUCUGAAUCUUUCAGUCUUUUCUACUCAAUAUGCAGUAAGAUAUCAUAAACAUUUGAGGAUGUUUAUAUGUUGGUGAAAUGUGGGAAGUCUGGGAUGUGGAUCCAUAAUGCAUAAAACCCUUACAAGACAAUGUCAAAUUGUGUACAAAAGCUACCGUUGUCAUUGGGUAGAAUGAAAACUGUUUUUUUGUUGUUUUUUUUUUGUCUGUAGCUCUUCACAGCACAACUGGGCUACACGGAAAUUAGGCUUAAUGGCUCAUUAUCUGUCAAGAGGGAACAAAACCCUGGACCUUGUGGACCACAAUUGCAAAGUACCUCGUGUUUCCUUACUGUACCAUUUAACCACAGCAUGUAAUUUUCUCUUAUGCAACUGUAUUACAUCACUCAAGCAAAAAUAUUUUACAAUAUGCUACAUUAAUAAAGCUAAUGUUGCACC